rnacentral:tRNA from 1 species
CAUAGCCAAGUGGUAAGGCGAAGGUCUGCAAAACCUUUAUUCCCCCGGUUCGAAUCCGGGUGGCACCU